GCCGAUUUUGGCCAGAGCAGAGGACGGAGAAGCUGGAAAAUGCAAGGCAUGUGGUGGAUCAAGGCAGUUUGAAAUGCAGCUAAUGCCUCCACUGCUAUAUUUUCUUCAGGAAGCAGCUGAUGAAAGUCAAAAACAAUUGCUGGAGGCCUGGAACUGGAUGACGCUUUUGGUACAUACUUGUUCUGAUAGCUGUUCACAAUCUUCUGAGAAGUCAGAUGAUGGAAGCUGGAUCAUUACAGAGGAAUCCAUAUUCG
rnacentral:misc_RNA from 1 species